rnacentral:tRNA from 1 species
GGUUCCAUCGGCUAACGGUUAGGCCACAAGGUUUUCAUCCUUGUAAUCGGGGUUCGAUUCCCCGUGGGAUCA